rnacentral:rRNA from 1 species
GACGAACGCUGGCGGCGCGCUUAACACAUGCAAGUCGAACGGUGAAGGGGCCUGCUUUUGUGGGUCCUGGAUGAGUGGCGAACGGGUGAGUAACACGUGAGUAACCUGCCCCCUUCUUCUGGAUAACCGCAUGAAAGUGUGGCUAAUACGGGAUAUUCUGGGUCUGUCGCAUGGUGGGCCUGGGAAAGAUUGCGCUUUUUUGGUGUUUUUGGUGGGGGAUGGGCUCGCGGCCUAUCAGCUUGUUGGUGGGGUGAUGGCCUACCAAGGCGGUGACGGGUAGCCGGCCUGAGAGGGUGGACGGUCACACUGGGACUGAGACACGGCCCAGACUCCUACGGGAGGCAGCAGUGGGGAAUAUUGCACAAUGGGCGCAAGCCUGAUGCAGCGACGCCGCGUAAGGGAUGGAGGCCUUCGGGUUGUGAACCCUCUUUCGCCAGUGAAAGCAGGCCCUC